AGUGAACGCUGGCGGUAGGCCUAACACAUGCAAGUCGAACGGCAGCACAGUAAGAGCUUGCUCUUACGGGUGGCGAGUGGCGGACGGGUGAGGAAUACAUCGGAAUCUACUUUUUCGUGGGGGAUAACGUAGGGAAACUUACGCUAAUACCGCAUACGACCUACGGGUGAAAGCAGGGGAUCUUCGGACCUUGCGCGAUUGAAUGAGCCGAUGUCGGAUUAGCUAGUUGGCGGGGUAAAGGCCCACCAAGGCGACGAUCCGUAGCUGGUCUGAGAGGAUGAUCAGCCACACUGGAACUGAGACACGGUCCAGACUCCUACGGGAGGCAGCGGUGGGGAAUAUUGGACAAUGGGCGCAAGCCUGAUCCAGCCAUACCGCGUGGGUGAAGAAGGCCUUCGGGUUGUAAAGCCCUUUUGUUGGGAAAGAAAGGCAGCAGGUUAAUACCCCGCUGUUCUGACGGUACCCAAAGAAUAAGCACCGGCUAACUUCGUG
rnacentral:rRNA from 1 species